UGCAGUCGAGCGGAACGAAGAUAGCUUGCUAUCAGGCGUCGAGCGGCGGACGGGUGAGUAAUGCUUAGGAAUCUGCCCAGUAGUGGGGGAUAGCCCGGGGAAACUCGGAUUAAUACCGCAUACGCCCUUUUGGGGAAAGCAGGGGAUCUUCGGACCUUGCGCUAUUGGAUGAGCCUAAGUCGGAUUAGCUAGUUGGUGGGGUAAAGGCUCACCAAGGCGACGAUCCGUAGCUGGUCUGAGAGGAUGAUCAGCCACAUCGGGACUGAGACACGGCCCGAACUCCUACGGGAGGCAGCAGUGGGGAAUAUUGGACAAUGGGCGCAAGCCUGAUCCAGCCAUGCCGCGUGUGUGAAGAAGGCUUUCGGGUUGUAAAGCACUUUCAGUGAGGAGGAAGGCCUCAAAGUUAAUACCUUUGAGGAUUGACGUCACUCACAGAAGAAGCACCGGCUAACUCCGUGCCAGCAGCCGCGGUAAUACGGAGGGUGCAAGCGUUAAUCGGAAUUACUGGGCGUAAAGCGCGCGUAGGUGGUUGAGUAAGCGAGAUGUGAAAGCCCCGGGCUUAACCUGGGAACGGCAUUUCGAACUGCUUGGCUAGAGUGUGGUAGAGGGUAGUGGAAUUUCCUGUGUAGCGGUGAAAUGCGUAGAUAUAGGAAGGAACACCAGUGGCGAAGGCGGCUACCUGGACCAACACUGACACUGAGGUGCGAAAGC
rnacentral:rRNA from 1 species